rnacentral:rRNA from 1 species
AAACUCAAAUGAAUUGACGGGGAGCACCACAACGGGUGGAGCUUGCGGUUUAAUUGGAUUCAACGCCGGAAAAUCUUACCGGGACCGAACAGCAAUAUGAAGGCCAGGCUGAGGACUUUGCCGGAUUAGCUGAGAGGUGGUGCAUGGCCGUCGUCAGUUCGUACUGUGAAGCAUCCUGUUAAGUCAGGCAACGAGCGAGACCCACGCCCACAGUUGCCAGCGUACUCUCUGGAGUGACGGGUACACUGUGGGGACCGCCGCUGCUAAGGCGGAGGAAGGAAUGGGCAACGGUAGGUCAGUAUGCCCCGAAUAUCCCGGGCUACACGCGAGCUACAAUGGUUGGUACAAUGGGUAUCUACCCCGAAAGGGGAAGGAAAUCUCUUAAAGCCAAUCGUAGUUCGGAUUGAGGGCUGCAACUCGCCCUCAUGAAGCUGGAAUCCGUAGUAAUCGCGUUUCAACAGAACGCGGUGAAUACGUCCCUGCUCCUU